GGACUUGCCCAGUUACCAAGAAACACUCAAGAGGACAGAGUAGAGACGGCAUCUUGGGAUUGCAUCCUGCUCUGUCAUGUGGCUGACUGAUCCUUGGCAAGAUAUACAACCUAAGUCCGCGGUUCCUGAUUUCAGAGUCCACUGAAGUUUACACCAGGUUGCUGUCUCACUAAUUCACACUAAAGGGAUCCUCAGGACCUUCCAAGUCGGAGCCUGGAUUUCGCCCUGGACUCCAGAUUCCGAGGAACAGGACCUCCGGCGGGACUUCGGAUCUCCAGAUCCCUUAGGAGAUUCCCGAUCUUGAGAUCCCUGGAUCCGUCACCUCUUGCUCCUGC